GUGAACGCUGGCGGUCGGCCUCACACAUGCCAGUCGGACGGCAGCACAGUAAGAGCUUGCUCUUACGGGUGGCGAGUGGCGGACGGGUGAGGAAUACAUCGGAAUCUACUUUUUCGUGGGGGAUGACGUAGGGAAACUUACGCUAAUACCGCAUACGACCUACGGGUGAAAGCAGGGGAUCUUCGGACCUUGCGCGAUUGAAUGAGCCGAUGUCGGAUUAGCUAGUUGGCGGGGUAAAGGCCCACCAAGGCGACGAUCCGUAGCUGGUCUGAGAGGAUGAUCAGCCACACUGGAACUGAGACACGGUCCAGACUCCUACGGGAGGCAGCAGUGGGGAAUAUUGGACAAUGGGCGCAAGCCUGAUCCAGCCAUACCGCGUGGGUGAAGAAGGCCUUCGGGUUGUAAAGCCCUUUUGUUGGGAAAGAAAAGCAGCAGGUUAAUACCCCGCUGUUCUGACGGUACCCAAAGAAUAAGCACCGGCUAACUUCGUG
rnacentral:rRNA from 1 species